CUCCAGCUGACGAGUCCCAAACAGGACGAAAUGCGCGUCCUGGAU
rnacentral:hammerhead_ribozyme from 1 species